CGCGGGAGUAGCUCAGUUGGUAGAGCGCAACCUUGCCAAGGUUGAGGUCGCGAGUUCGAGACUCGUCUCCCGCUCC
rnacentral:tRNA from 1 species